GUGCAGCGUGCUCCGUUGAAGUAGCCGCUGUCGCUGCACUGCACCUCUGCAUUCCGGAUCAGCGGCUCUUGGCAAUCAAUGGCUUCACAGGAGUAAUGAACACAACUGAAAACAGAAAGAUUGAGAGAAAGGGAGAAGCCGCUGAUGGUGAUUGGGUCAAAGAACUGGAAGGAACGCAAGCCAAUACCAGAGAUGGCCACGAGAUCGGAGCGGAACAUGAGGAGAAUGGCUUUGGUGUGGUAGAAGGCCAUGCUCAAGUCAUGACUCACUGGGAUGACCAGAGGAUUGGUGCGGCAGCUCAAACGCCAGUCGCCUAAACAUUUCAGGGGAAGGAAUGGACACAUAUGACAGUAAUCAGAAUUUAGGCAGUUGCUAAUAUCACAAAGUCAAAUAGUUACCCUA